CUACCCUGUCCGGGAGAGAGACGUCCUCAGAAUAUCAGGAACUCCCGGGAGUUAGAACUUACGUUUUUGGGUCCUGGUGACUCGGAAAGGGGAGUCCAGGCGACCCCCGCGGCCUGGAUGUAAGCAAGAGCCUCCGAAGAGAGGGGCUGGGAAGAACAUAACUGUUGAAAAUGACAUGAGAGUAAACAAAGACAGUCUGACCGAUCUUUAUGUUCAGCAUGCAAUACCACUGCCUCAGAGAGAUUUGCCAAAGAAUAGAUGGGGGAAGGUGAUGGAAAAGAAAAGAGACCAACAUGAGAUAAAAAAUGAGACGAAAAGGAGUAGCACUGCAGACGGGUUUCGGAAAAGACCCCUCAUCGUGUUUGACGGGAGUUCAACAAGUACAAGCAUAAAAGUGAAGAAGACGGAGAACGGAGACAAUGACCGACUCAAGUCCCGGCCUCAGGCCGGUGCUACCAGUAAUGCCUUUCGAAAAUUGUCAGAUUCCUCUUCAGGUGUUUCACCCCUAAUUUUGUCUUCCAAUUUGCCUACGAACAAUAGAAUGGAACACAGUAAUAAUGACACUAAACAGAACCAUGACUUAACGCAUAGGAAAAGUCCUUCCGGCCCUGUGAAGUCGCCGCCUCUGUCGCCUGUAGGCAGUACUCCGGUGAAGUUAAAGCGCGCCGCUCCCAGGGAGGAGGCCGAGGCCGAGGCUGCGAAUAACCUGAAGCCCCCAGAAGCAAAGAGGAAGAUACAGCAUGUUACGUGGCCGUGAAGGAAAGUUUCCAAAAACGUAAAUAUAACUGUAACUGUAGUUUUUCAAACAAGUUCACAUUUACUGACAGUAUUUACAGAGAUCCUGAUUAUUGUGGAAUUUUCUUAAGAGGUUUAAAUUAGGUUCAAAAAAAUAAAGUCCUUUCCUUUCCUUUUUCCCUCCUUUUCCUUCCUUUGGGGGGAAGAAAUCUUGCCUUUCAUGCUCCAAUUAGGAAACAAUCUUUUUAAACAAAUGAUUUAGUAUAAAUCAUUUAUAUUGGCCCUACUCAAUUAGCUGCAAGUCUGGUAUAAAGCAUUUGAUGAAUUUUAGGAAUUACUCGCAUUAGUCUCUUUUGGUCUUUGGGGAAAUUUGAGGUUUUUUAAACUCGGAUAUUUCAGAAGUUCACAAUUUUCAUUUCUUUUCCCAAGCAAAAGAAAAUAACAAUUCAUUGCAAUAUUCUAGUGAAUUCUGCCAGACUCCUCCUCAAGGUUCCCCGUGGAAAACUGUCCAGAUAUACAGAUAAAAUGGCUGUUCUUUAAGUGCUCAUGUUGCCUCUUUCCCUAAAAAUCAGAAGGGGAACCAGUGCUUGCUAUCGCUCCUUCCCUCUAAUUGUGAAUUGACUUCUUGUGAGUAGACCGGCCCAGCCCUUGGACGCUCCUGUCAUGUGGCAGCCCUGCCCCUCUUCUCGCGGUGGCUCUGACCUCCCUCUCAGCUCCUGUAUCACUCUCUCCUGGGAGCUUAAUCUUUUCCAAAUGAGGCCGACUUCAAACUCUUCAGGGGAAGUAAUCACUUUAGAGGUGGUACCUGAUGGCAGAAAGCUUACAGGAUAGGAAGGGUGGGUAGAAUUCUAGAACCUGAGAAUCCAGGAAGCCUGGCAGUGAGGGGAACUCAGCGCGUGUGCAGUCUGCAGAAGGGGGUUUGCUGAGUCGGAGGUCACGAGAGAGCAGCGUGGGGGCAGGGCCCGGCACCCGCGGAGGCACUGCUGAGGUUUCGUUGGUGUUAAGUGGUGUCACUCCAGUUGUGUAGCAGAAGUCAGGUUCACGAGUUCUGGUGUCCACUUGCUGCUGUGUAUUUCUAACCAAGGCCAAGGGUACUUUAUACUCUUCCCUCGUAGGACUGAUCUCCGAAUGGGGUUUGCCUUUCAACACUUUUUAGAGCAAUCCAUUCCUUUUUUGAUAUGUUAAAACAAGCAUUUUAGUUCAGCUGUUGAAUAGCCUUACAAAAAAUUAAUUCAGGCUUGCAGGUAAGUACUGUACUAAAACUUUAACCCUACAGUUUUUAGCCUUUCUGCCUUUAUCCAGACUAUAAAUCCAUACCGGUAAGACGAAAAUGAAAGACACUGAGUGUGGCAUAAGUUGUUAAUGUUAUGCUAAAUUGUUAAAUGUUUGGUUGUCUGCAGGGCUGAUAUUUGGAAUAUUGUUGAAGGACAGCCAUAAUCCUAUACACAGCUGUGUGUUAAGGGAGCUUUUAAAAGUGCAGAUUUCAGGGUAGAAUGACGAAGUAUAUUCUACAUUCUGUUGUCUCUUCUGCUUCCAUCUGCAUUUCUCUCUUAGUUAAGAGAGAGUUAGCCAUUUGACAGUUUUAAGUCAGUGGAAACUUGUUUUUAGUUACUCAAUAAAAUUAAUUUUUAAUUUGUAUAUUUAACUUACAGAGUAGGUUGGUAAUAACAGCUGAACUGUGUAACAUUGUUGCUUCAAAUUGAAGUUUAUAUUAUGAACAUUCAGAAUCAGUGCUCAUAUAGCAGCAUAUUAUUGAGCUAUUUUGAGUUUGAAAAGUGGAGAAGCCUCAGCCCUGUGCCGUGUGUCACGUACACUGACAUCCGAGCGCUAGGCCUCCUCGCGGUGCGCGGACACAGCUCCGUGGGCCACGGUAGGGAUCCGAGGUGGUGCUCUGUGGGCUUUAGAGCUUCCACGGCCUUGGUGUGAACGGCGCACACCUGGACCCCCCCUCGCUCCCUAGCGUGGGCUCAUCUGGUGGCUUGGAGCCCUUCCUGGGGUCAGCGAAGGGCAGUCGGUCGAGUCAGGUGGCUCCCAGGGAAUAGGCAUGUGUCCACUUCCUGCCCUUAGCAGCUGGUCCUGUUCUUUUCUUCCCCCCCCCCCCCCCCCCGCUUUGUUCUCUGUUUUCCUUUCUCUUACUCUCCCCUCCCCCACAGCUCACUUUCUCUGCUCCUUCUCCGUCACCCUGCAGACCCUGAGCUCCAGGCUUAGGUUUACAAGUUGUGUUGCUCGGCCCGCUUAUCGCUGGGGCCGGGGCUAGGCGAGCGCCGUGCUUCUUGAGGACCGCAGACGCUGCUGCGGGGGUCUGCGAGUCUCAAGGCCCUGCGGCACCGGGCGCUGAAUUGCCGCAGCGGCUCUGGAGGCGGGGUGGUUUACCAGGGCGGCUGCCAGGCACUCUGCAAGGCUGGCUCAACUACUGCUGGGAGGCUGUGGUAUUUCUGCUAGUAUUAAAAUUCUUCAUGAUUGCAGUUAUUGUUUGAAAGAGUGUUUUGGUUAACUUAAGUUUUGAGAGGUGAUUCUAAAACUGAUCUAGAGACUCAUUUAAUAGCAACAACCUGUUAAAAACUUACAUUAAGUGAAACUGCCAGUGGAUUAAAUCAUAUGUAUGUAAGAGCUUCCUUUGUUUACUGCUGUGGGGCCUCAGCAGUUCUGAGGCUCCAGAACGGCCACAGCGUUUGUAAGUGCUGUGCUCUUUCCAUUAAAUGCCUGCGCAGGUUUUGUAAUUCGGUACAGAAAGGUUAACCUUGUAAUGUACAUUUUUGUAUGUAAAAAGUCUUUUAAGGAGCCUUAUCCUUAUUUAAAUAAAAGGAAUAAAAUUA